UCGUAUUCACCCUCCUAAAGCCUAGAAGAGAAAUAUAUGAGCAUUGCCAAAUAAUAGCCUAUUAGUUUCCCUUUUCCUUCUUUUAUAGUUUUUCUCAACCUCUGAUCUAUGAACCUUUUCUGGGCAAUGAAUCUAGGUUCUCUCUUGCUCCAUUUUUUCAUAUUUUCCUUGUGAAAAUAUGUCUUCAAGAGCGUAAGGGAGAACCUAGAUUCAUUACCCAGCAAAAGUCAUCAACUUGUCUCCAAUCUCAUCUUCCCCAUAUCUUCAUAGGGAUAAAAGAAGGUGUUGCAGAUGUUUGUAGAUGUUUGAAACUUUAAGUUUUAAACUCCAUGAAUGCCACCCUUUUCAGGGUAGUUGUUUAAACCAUCUAAGCUAAGAUUUGGAUUCAUAACAGCAUAUUUCUUUUUCUUUCAAGUAUUGUUGUUAUUCUUUGAAUUAUGCCUAAGUAUUAGGUAAUUUUGUUUGGUCAAAUUCUACUAUUAGUCCAGUAUUAAUUUAGUCACUUUUGUUUAAUUUGAUCUUUUUUAAUUUUUAUAUUUUUCAAAUUUAAAAAUUUUAAUCUUCACUCAAAUGGUAGUGCUAGUUUACAUGCAUUAAACAUGGGAUUAUAUGUUUUCCAUAUAAAAUUUUGAAAAUAGUAUAAUUUAACAUGAUAAUUUUUUCUUUUUCAGGUAAGAAUCGAAUAUGAAUUUGUGUGUUUUUAAUUCAAAAUUAAGCUAUCAACUUGGUUCUUAUUUAAUAUUUUUUGUUUGAGUGGUUUCUUAUUUACUAUGGUUGGCAUGAAUAGUUAAAUUAUUUCGAGCUGAUUGGAUGAUGAACAAUGAUUUAAUGGUUUGGUUCAUUGAAUUAUUCAUUUCAUGGAAUCAUCAUUCAUAUUUUAUUUUAGCCUCCCCCAUAAUAGUCAUUCAUCACCAUAUCCAAAGAAUAAGAUAUUACACUCUUCAUCGAAUAGACUCAAAUUUUUUUAAAAAAAUGGGGUUUAGAAUUGAAAAAAUAUUUUCUUUUUAUAUUCUUCGCAUCCAUUUCACGGUUCAUAUUUGAGAUUCAUAGCUAUUUUUCCUAACAAUAUCGUCUCUAAGAUUCAAACAUGGGUCAUCCACUUAAGAAUGAGUGUGUCUUACCAUUACACUCAACCAUUUGUUGGUAAGAUUCUAUCUAGAUUAAUAUAUGUAUUUUGGUGAUUAUAUUUUAAUAUAAUAUUUAUUAUAAUUUAUAAAAAUAUUAAAAUAAAUUAUAUUAAAAGCUAAUAAAUAAUUUAUAUAAUUUUUAAAUUUUAAUUUUAAUAAAAUAUUCUAUAGCUAAAUUAUCUUUAUAAUUAUUUAAAAUUUUAAAAAGUCAAUUUAUUUAAUUUUUCAUAUUGUGAACUAAGAGUAAAGUUGUCAUUUGUGAUCUAUUCUUUGUAAAUUUUCUAUCAUUAUUCAGUCAAACCAAACAAUGUAAUAUAUUACAGCUUUACUUCAUUUAGUCAAUUAAACAUAGCAAUGUUAUUAUUUCUUUCUUCUAUUCUCACCGAAUAGGCUAUUCAAUUUGUACUUUAUUAAGUUCUAGUGAGCCAGACAUACCGUUAAUAUUUUUUCAGAUAAAAACAUAUCUUUCAAAUUUAAUAAUAAUUGUAUUAUUUGGUUUUAAGAUAAUAGGAUAAUAUAUGUCUAUAUAUGAAUCCCAUGUGAUGGUCUGAUGGUUAAGAGUGUUCACCACUCCAUAUGUCUGGAUUUGAAUCACGCUAGUCGCGUUAGUUGUUCGAACCUUGCAAUUCACCAAAAAUAUAUAUGCUUUAACCCUUAAUUCCAUCCUCUUAAGAGGAUUUUGAUUGCGAAGACUUCCUCUUUAAUCCCAAAGGACAUCAACAGACUUUAGAAAAAGGAAGAUAUUAUUCAAAAAUCAACUAUUAAUAACUUUGAAGUGUCAAUUUGUUGUAGAAAUACUUUCAUGACAUUUAAAUUAUUCGUGCAUAUUCAAUAUAUAUUUCAAUAUUCAUAUAAAAUUAUUUUUUUAAAGAAAAUACUAUCAUUAAUAGGAAUAAUGAACGAUAAGAAUAUAAAUAUCUAACACAUAGUACAAAUGAUAGAUAAUAUACAAUAAAUUGAUGUAUAAAUGCCAUGUCCGUAGAAUAAUUCAAAAAGAUAAGAAAGAUAAGCUGAAAGUAACUGCAAUACUAGAAGAAUUUAAAAAUAAACUAGAGUUAUGCCACCUUGAUCAAACCACUAAAAGCUCCAUCCUAGUCAUUAUUAGACUAACCUAAUGAUGAACUUUGGUCAAUAAAGAAACCGCUAUCAAGAGACUCACCGUAUCAAUGAUGCAUAAAAGACCAAGUCUCAAUAGCCUAUCAUCAUCAUCAUCAUCAUGAUCUUGGGUUCCAGUUUUACAAAUAUCAUCAUUAUUAAGAGGGAUAAUACGAACCCUAAAAAUAUAAAAAAUGUAUAUUAACAUUUCUAAUUUUGAAAGCCUUAUGUUAUUGUACAAUAAAAACAAAACUAAAAAAAAAAAUUAAAAAAAUAACAUAGAACACAAAUAAAAAUAUUCUUCAUAAAUGUAUUUCUGGUUAAUAAUUAUCUUAAUUUCCACUCUCAAAAACUUUAUUAUGUAAUUUUGGAAUUAAUAAAUUUAAUAUUUUAAUUUAGAAUGAUAGAGAUUGCAAUACUCAACUUUGAUUCACUCUUGCAGGAAUAUUAAAAAUAUUUAUUUGGGGUCAGUCUUUCUCUCAUAAUAUAUAUAUAGAUAUAUUUAUGAUUCGGGUCUUGCAUCGGUGAGCAAUGUUGUUGAAAUUCAAUUGAUUCUUGACUUGUGUCUCAAAGAUUGGAGAGUAAAAUUUAAAAGUAUCCGAAGAACAAAUAAUAAAGUGGCAGAUCAUUUAACCAAGAUGACUAGUAGUGAUAUUGAGCAUUUUGUGGUUCUUGAGGAGUCGCCGCAUGAAAUCAAUACCUUAUUAGAAGAGGAUACUCGUUCGAGUAUUCUUAAAGAGUCAACUAGUAAUUAGCAUAUUUUCUUGUAUCUAGGCUUUGCCUAUGUUUCCUUCUAUCAAAAAAUUAAAUUUAUGAUUGAAACAUAAUUAAUCUAAGUUUAACACAAGUCAAAUUUGGAUCAUCAUUAAUAAAUGAUUAAUAUACUAAAAAAAAAUAAACUACUACAAGUACUUAAAUUAUUUUUGUAGAUAAAAAAAAAAGUCUAUAUCUUAUUAUUUUUACUCAUUAAAUUAUUUUGAAUUAGAGACAUUUAUAUUAAUUUCUUGUUGAUCCAAUAAAAACUCUAUGCACUUUUAAAAUCAAUCUAAAAUUUAAAAGAGCAAUAAAAACAAAUUAAUUAAAAAUGGUAAUACCCAGAAGAUAGGGAGUUAAUAUUGUAAAGAAUGACCAAGAAUGGCUUAUAUAUUCCCCAAAGAGAUUAGAUUCUAUUCACUCCUCUCCCACCAUUUCUCUUUUAUUUUUUAUUUCAGCAAACAAGGAACCAAAUCAUAGUAGAAUAUAUAUCGAAUGUGGUAGGAAUGUAGCAAGGUAGCAGUCUAAAUGGUUAAGCAUCUAUCUCCCAUUGCAAGCUAGGUUUGAAUUCUGCCACCUUUCCCAUUUUCCCUUCUAUUUUUGGCAAAAAGGGUGUAUUCGCUAUCCAGCCCCUCAAAAUUCUUAAAAUCUAAGUAUUUAAUCACUUUUCCUAAUUAUACAUUGAUUUUAAUUCCUCUCCAACCCUAAAUAGAAUUUCCUCUAUUCUCUUUAAUUUUUCCUUUCUCUUUUAUUUCUCCCUUUUCUUUCUAUAAAAAUUUUACAUUCGUUAUUGGAAAUUUAUCUCUUGAAAUCCCAAAUCAAAAUCGAUUCUCGAUUUAACCCAUUUUUCUACUAAUUUUUUUUAUUUAUCAUCAAUCAUCUCAGAAUACUCAUCAAAAUAUCGGUAAGUACUCUCGUUUUAAUUAGUAGAACCCAUAAUUUUUUAGAUUACAUCGUUUCUCAUUAAUUUUCCAAACUCGAUUACGAAUCUUUUUUCGAAUUUUCCCGGAAAACCUCGAUAAUCUUGAUAAAUCUUGAAAUCUGUUACUAAUUAUAGCAUAAUCAUCGAUUGAAAGACUUGUUGUAGGUAUCCCAGAUCAAAUUUGGACGUGAAGAUCAUCGUUCAAGACCCUAGUGAAAGGUGUGUGUUCUUUUACAAGCGAAUCGAGGCAAAACCAUACCAAGAUAGGGCCACAUGGGUGUGUGGACUACACGACCAUGUCCCCUUGCAAACCCUAGGAUAGUUCGCUUCUCACAUGGGCACGACCUUUCCACACAGUCUGCCACACGAGCAUAUAGACCACACAGGUGGAUCACACGGCCUACCACACGACUAUGUGCCCUAGAAACCCUAGUGUAGUUCGUAAACCACACGGCCUCAGUCUAUUACAUGGCCUGGCCACAUGGUCAUGUGCCCCUAUUUUUCAAAGUUUAUAGUUUUACUCAGAAUUUUGUGAUUUGCUCAGUUUAGUCCCUGAUUGAUCCCCAAACUAUUUUUAAUGUUUUAUUUUAUUCAAAUAAGCCCC
rnacentral:lncRNA from 1 species